rnacentral:rRNA from 1 species
UGGGGAAUAUUGCACAAUGGGCGAAAGCCUGGUGCAGCAACGCCGCGUGAGCGAUGAAGGCCUUCGGGUCGUAAAGCUCUGUCCUCAAGGAAGAUAAUGACGGUACUUGAGGAGGAAGCCCCGGCUAACUACGUGCCAGCAGCCGCGGUAAUACGUAGGGGGCUAGCGUUAUCCGGAAUUACUGGGCGUAAAGGGUGCGUAGGCGGUCUUUCAAGCCAGAAGUGAAAGGCUACGGCUCAACCGUAGUAAGCUUUUGGAACUGUAGGACUUGAGUGCAGGAGAGGAGAGUAGAAUUCCUAGUGUAGCGGUGAAACGCGUAGAUAUUAGGAGGAAUACCAGUAGCGAAGGCGGCUCUCUGGACUGUAACUGACGCUGAGGCACGAAAGCGUGGGGAGCGAACAGGAUUAGAUACCCUGGUAGUCCACGCCAUAAACGAUGAGUACUAGGUGUCGGGGGUUACCCCCUCGGUGCCGCAGCUAACGCAUUAAGUACU